GAGUUUGAUCGUGGCUCAGAUUGAACGCUGGCGGCAUGCCUUACACAUGCAAGUCGAACGGCAGCACGGGAGCUUGCUCCUGGUGGCGAGUGGCGAACGGGUGAGUAAUGCAUCGGAACGUAUCCUGGAGUGGGGGGAUAACGUAGCGAAAGUUACGCUAAUACCGCAUAUUCUGUGAGCAGGAAAGCGGGGGACCUUCGGGCCUCGCGCUCUUGGAGCGGCCGAUGUCGGAUUAGCUAGUUGGUGAGGUAAAGGCUCACCAAGGCGACGAUCCGUAGCAGGUCUGAGAGGAUGAUCUGCCGCACUGGAACUGAGACACGGUCCAGACUCCUACGGGAGGCAGCAGUGGGAAUUUUGGACAAUGGGGGCAACCCUGAUCCAGCCAUGCCGCGUGAGUGAAGAAGGUCUUCGGGUUGUAAAGCUCUUUCGCGAGGGAAGAAAUUGCACCGGACAAUACCUGGUGUAGAUGACGGUACCUUGAUAAGAAGCACCGGCUAACUACGUGCCAG
rnacentral:rRNA from 1 species